UAAUUAUUCUGAAAAUAAUUAUUUAACUUGUUAAAAUAUGACAUGUGGCAAGAAAAGUAUCUCAUAGUUUCUCCGCAGAGAAACUUUUCUCACUUUCUCUCCUACUUUAUUAUUAUUUUAUAUUUUUUAGUGAAGGAAAAACUAUGUGAGAGACUAUUGAUGGAGAUGCUCUGAGGCUUCCGUGUGUCCACAUCAGCACAAAAAACAUUACUUGAGAGGAAGCCACGUCAUUGCUCUUUCAUCCUUAAAAAAAGAAAUGCCACGUCAUCUAUAGGUUAAGGCUUUCACGUCUUCUCCGUU
rnacentral:sRNA from 1 species